AUGAAGAGUUUGAUCCUGGCUCAGGAUGAACGCUAGCUACAGGCUUAACACAUGCAAGUCGAGGGGCAGCAUGGUCUUAGCUUGCUAAGGCCGAUGGCGACCGGCGCACGGGUGAGUAACACGUAUCCAACCUGCCGUCUACUCUUGGACAGCCUUCUGAAAGGAAGAUUAAUACAAGAUGGCAUCAUGAGUCCGCAUGUUCACAUGAUUAAAGGUAUUCCGGUAGACGAUGGGGAUGCGUUCCAUUAGAUAGUAGGCGGGGUAACGGCCCACCUAGUCUUCGAUGGAUAGGGGUUCUGAGAGGAAGGUCCCCCACAUUGGAACUGAGACACGGUCCAAACUCCUACGGGAGGCAGCAGUGAGGAAUAUUGGUCAAUGGGCGAGAGCCUGAACCAGCCAAGUAGCGUGAAGGAUGACUGCCCUAUGGGUUGUAAACUUCUUUUAUAAAGGAAUAAAGUCGGGUAUGCAUACCCGUUUGCAUGUACUUUAUGAAUAAGGAUCGGCUAACUCCGUGCCAGCAGCCGCGGUAAUACGGAGGAUCCGAGCGUUAUCCGGAUUUAUUGGGUUUAAAGGGAGCGUAGAUGGAUGUUUAAGUCAGUUGUGAAAGUUUGCGGCUCAACCGUAAAAUUGCAGUUGAUACUGGAUAUCUUGAGUGCAGUUGAGGCAGGCGGAAUUCGUGGUGUAGCGGUGAAAUGCUUAGAUAUCACGAAGAACUCCGAUUGCGAAGGCAGCCUGCUAAGCUGCAACUGACAUUGAGGCUCGAAAGUGUGGGUAUCAAACAGGAUUAGAUACCCUGGUAGUCCACACGGUAAACGAUGAAUACUCGCUGUUUGCGAUAUACAGCAAGCGGCCAAGCGAAAGCGUUAAGUAUUCCACCUGGGGAGUACGCCGGCAACGGUGAAACUCAAAGGAAUUGACGGGGGCCCGCACAAGCGGAGGAACAUGUGGUUUAAUUCGAUGAUACGCGAGGAACCUUACCCGGGCUUAAAUUGCAGAUGAAUUACGGUGAAAGCCGUAAGCCGCAAGGCAUCUGUGAAGGUGCUGCAUGGUUGUCGUCAGCUCGUGCCGUGAGGUGUCGGCUUAAGUGCCAUAACGAGCGCAACCCUUGUUGUCAGUUACUAACAGGUCAUGCUGAGGACUCUGACAAGACUGCCAUCGUAAGAUGUGAGGAAGGUGGGGAUGACGUCAAAUCAGCACGGCCCUUACGUCCGGGGCUACACACGUGUUACAAUGGGGGGUACAGAGGGCCGCUACCACGCGAGUGGAUGCCAAUCCCAAAAACCUCUCUCAGUUCGGACUGGAGUCUGCAACCCGACUCCACGAAGCUGGAUUCGCUAGUAAUCGCGCAUCAGCCACGGCGCGGUGAAUACGUUCCCGGGCCUUGUACACACCGCCCGUCAAGCCAUGGGAGCCGGGGGUACCUGAAGUGCGUAACCGCGAGGAGCGCCCUAGGGUAAAACUGGUGACUGGGGCUAAGUCGUAACAAGGUAGCCGUACCGGAAGGUGCGGCUGGAACACCUCCUUU
rnacentral:rRNA from 1 species